GACGUAGGGCGCGAGCGUUGUCCGGAUUUAUUGGGCGUAAAGAGCUCGUAGGCGGCUUGGCAAGUCGGGUGUGAAACCUCCAGCUCAACCUGGAGACGCCACCCGAUACUGCCAUGGCUAGAGUCCGGUAGGGGACCACGGAAUUCCUGGUGUAGCGGUGAAAUGCGCAGAUAUCGAGGAGGAACACCGGUGGCGAAGGCGGUGGUCUGGGCCGGAACUGACGCUGAGGAGCGAAAGCGUGGGGAGCGAACAGG
rnacentral:rRNA from 1 species